CCUACGGGUGGCAGCAGUGAGGAAUAUUGGUCAAUGGACGCAAGUCUGAACCAGCCAUGCCGCGUGCAGGAAGACGGCUCUAUGAGUUGUAAACUGCUUUUGUACGAGGGUAAACGCAGAUACGCGUAUCUGUCUGAAAGUAUCGUACGAAUAAGGAUCGGCUAACUCCGUGCCAGCAGCCGCGGGAAUACGGAGGAUUCAAGCGUUAUCCGGAAUUAUUGGGUUUAAAGGGUGCGUAGGCGGUCGGAUAAGUUAGAGGUGAAAUCCCGAGGCUCAACUUCGGAAUUGCCUCUGAUACUGUUCGGCGAGAGGGUAGUUGCGGUAGGCGGAAUGUAUGGUGUAGCGGUGAAAUGCUUAGAGAUCAUACAGAACACCGAUUGCGAAGGCAGCUUACCAAGCUACGUCUGACGUUGAGGCACGAAAGCGUGGGGAGCAAACAGGAUUAGAUACCCGUGUAGUC
rnacentral:rRNA from 1 species